AGGAAGAAGCAAAGAGGGUUUGCUUUUGUUGGCUCGAUGAGUGAGCUGAUAUUUGCUGCUUCCAAUUGGGUAUAAAUACGUAGCCCAUCUCCCUACGUUUUCUCUGUAAACCCUUAGAGAGCUUCAGCCCCCCAUUUAUUAUUCUCUUUUUCUUUGAAAUCUGAAAGGGAAAGAGAAGCAGAAAAAGAAAUGGGAGAGAAGCCAAAAUCUGGAGGUGUUUGGCCCACUGUUAAGCCCUUCGUUAAUGGAGGUGCUUCUGGUAUGCUUACCACCUGUGUUAUUCAGCCCAUCGAUAUGAUUAAGGUGAGGAUACAAUUGGGUCAGGGAUCAGCAGUUGACGUCACCAAGACAGAUGCUUAAAAAUGAAGGCUUUGGUGCCUUUUACAAGGGUUUGUCAGCUGGGCUUCUUAGGCAGGCAACCUAUACAACAGCCAGACUUGGGUCAUUCAGAGAUACAGUCUGAAUAAAUGUGAUUCUAUAGAUGAGAUAUCACUUGAGUUGGUCCCAAGAGCACACAUUUUGUGGGUAGAAAGUUGCCACGGCCUUACCAUGCUUCUGAUUCCCAAUGGGACUGAAGAUCUCAUAAUAAAAAAAUGUGAGAAUCUUGAAAUACUUUCGGUGGCUCAAACGACGUUGUUGGGUACUUUGGAUAUUAGCAACUGCGAGAAGCUGAAGUCGCUGCCAGAACAUAUGCAGGAACUCCUUCCAUCUCUUAAGAAACUAGAACUACUAAAUUGUCCAAAAUUAGAGUCCUUUCCUGAAGUAGGAUUGCCCUUCAAUUUAGAAGUCCUUAAGAUCGUUGAUUGUAAGAAACUGGUGAAUGUGCAAAUGGAGUGGGGUUUACAGAGACUCCCCUGUCUCAGAAAGUUAACCAUCUCCCAUGAUGGUACUGACGAAGAAAUUCCAGCUGGUGAAAAUUGGGAGUUGCCUUGCUCUAUUUGAACUCUUUCGAUAGACAAUCUGAAAACAUUAAGCAGCCAUGUUCUCAAAAGCCUUACCUCUCUUGAAUAUCUAGAUACUAAAAAUUUACCUCAAAUUCAGUCACUGUUGGAAGAGAAGGGCUUCCCUCGUCUCUUUCUGAGCUUGCAUUAAAUCGCCACGAUGAGCUCCAUUCACUACCGACCAAAGGUCUUCGGCGCCUUACCUCACUUCGAAGCCUACAUAUCUGGAAUUUGAGAAGGGGGAUUACUGGCCAAAUAUUGCUCAUAUUCCCAACAUAGUGAUCGAUUGGGAAUACCUGUGAUGAUUAAAACGAAGGUGGUCUAACAGAUUGAAGAGUCUAUUACCACUAUGAAACACAGGAAGCAUCUUCACUUUGGGAUGAACGGUGAUAUGUUGCAGCUACAUAAAUCUUUAUAUCUGCGCUAAAACAUUGUAAGAGAAACCAGUAAGUUGAGCAAGGAGGAGGUGGUUUAGAGUAAUGCACAUGUCCACUAUUGAGUGCGAAGCUCUAACAGAAUUAAAAGGAUUUGGGUAGCAAUAUGCAAGCUAUUACCGCUCUUAGCUCCAUUGGUGAAUGGAAAGUUCAUGUCUCAACAAUAAAGAAGAAAAAUAAGACACGGACUUUCACAUGAAUGUGGACCACUUAAAUGAAGAAGUAACUUACACAUCUCAGAUAUAAGGAAGAGUUUCUGUCUGCAGUUGAAGUCUCACAUUAAUGGCCUGUUUCUCAGUUUGAGAAAGAAAAGCUGUAUAAGUAUUAAUUCUUAUGUUGAGCAUCGACAGUUUUGAUUAAAUGACGGGGAAAGACUAUGUCCUCUUUGAGCAUUUAUUCUCUGCUGAUUUUCAAUCGUGCCAAGUUUUUUAGACCAGAUCUUGUUGCUCUAUAUGGGAAGGAAAAGCUGGGCAGAAAGUUGUCAAGGAUCAUUCUUCUGUGAAAUGUCCCUCUAGCCAAGGGCAUUAUGAUUGGCAGCUGGAAUUUAGGCCCUCGGUUUCCCAUGUGGCUCAAAACUCAACAAAAAAAGAUAAGGUAUAUUGACAUAUCAAAUGGUAGAAUAGAAGGUGAAGUUCCAACUUGGUUUUGGAACUUAUCUUCUGAAAUUCUAUUUCUCAAUCUUUCUAACAACCAAUUUGUUGGUGAGGUUCCAACCAUCUUACUACUAGCUUGGUCAGAUGUGGGACAAUCAAUGUUUUUGAGUUUUGACAAUUUCAGUGGUCCUAUAUUUCGAGUUUAUCAACUUUGAGCCUCUUGAAUUUGUCUUAUAACAAUUUAACAGGAAAGAUAUAUGUGAGCACUCAAUUUCAAAGCUUUAAUCCUUCAGGUUUUCAAGGAAACAAUCUUUGCGGGUUUCCACUCUUGGUGAGCUGCAGUUCAGGUGGUCAAAUUCCUAAUGUUGAUACUGAAAAGUAUGAGAGAUGAAGAUAAAUUGGAUUGGUUCUACAUUUCAAUGGUAAUAGGAUGUGGUCUAAGCUUUUGGGGAGUAUGUUCGUAUUUGAUUUUCUAGAGAUUAUAGUGACAUGCCUAUUAUCGUUUUUUAGAUAGUACUUGGGAAUCCUCAACUUGUCCGAAACAUGAAACAUCUAAUUUUUCAGAAUAGCAAUAUCAUUAGUCAUCUCUCUCCCUAUAUUUGUAACUUUACACAUAAGGACUUUCCAACUGCUAUCUAAAAAACGAUAAUAGGCAUGUCUCCAUGAUCUCUUGAAAAUCAUAGACGAGCAUACUCCCCUAAAGCUAAGACCAAAUCCUAUUGCCAUUGAAAUGUAGAACCACUCCAAUUCGCCUUCAUCACUCUCAUCCUUUUCAGUAUCGACAUCAGGAGUUUGAUCACCUGAACUGCAAUUCACCAUGAGUGGAAGCCUGGAAAGUUUGUUUCCUUGGAAACCUGAGGGAAUAAAGCUUUGAAGUUGAGUGCUCACAUGUAUCGUUCCUGUUCAAUUGUUAUAAGACAAAUUCAAGAAGCUCGUAGUUGACGAACUUGGAAAGGUUUGUGGGAUUCGACCAGAGAGUUGAUUCCGGAAAGGCCAACAAAUUCCAUUGAAAUAUAGAAUGAAGUAGAGACGUCUCUAAUCUUGUCUUGGCUUUGCCAACUAAUUAUGGACUGCUCUACACUGGCACUGGGCGCACUCUACUUAAGUAUGUGAAGGGUAUGCUGUAUAUGCACCUAACCAGUAGUAAAUUAGGCCUUUUGUACUCUGAUUCUAUGUUUUUGCCUACGGAAUGUUCAAGACAGAAAUAACUAUUCGACUUCUGUAUUAAAUUUUUUGAUUUGUUGGAUAUGAUGUUUGGUCUUAGUGUUAAAGCAAACUUGUAAGACGGAAUGUUUCCAUAGUGGUUGAGAAUGCUUUCCUAUUUA